UACGUAGGGUGCGAGCGUUGUCCGGAAUUAUUGGGCGUAAAGGGCUCGUAGGCGGUUUGUCACGUCAGGAGUGAAAACUCGGGGCUCAACCCCGGGCCUGCAUUCGAUACGGGCAGGCUAGAGUUCGGCAGGGGAGACUGGAAUUCCUGGUGUAGCGGUGAAAUGCGCAGAUAUCGGGAAGAACACCCGUGGCGAAGGCGGCUCUCAGGGACGGUACUGACGCUGAGACGCGAAAGCGUGGGGAGCGAACAGG
rnacentral:rRNA from 1 species